CUGAUUGCACCUCUGACUUCAUACACACCACUGAGUUCCCAAAUGUGGCGUACAGGAACAUGUGCAAACACAUUCUACAUCCCAAGAUAUGUUGCUGGAAGCGUUCAAUAAAUGCUGUUAAGUUUCACCA
rnacentral:lncRNA from 1 species